AUUGAACGCUGGCGGCAGGCCUAACACAUGCAAGUCGAACGAGUGGCGGACGGGUGAGUAAUGUCUGGGAAACUGCCCGAUGGAGGGGGAUAACUACUGGAAACGGUCGCUAAUACCGCAUACCAUCGGAUGUGCCCAGAUGGGAUUAGCUAGUCGGUGGGGUAACGGCUCACCUAGUCGACGAUCCCUAGCUGGUCUGAGAGGAUGACCAGCCACACUGGAACUGGGCCACGGUCCAGACGCCUACGGGAGGCAGCAGUGGGGAAUAUUUCACAAUGGGCGCAAGCCUGAUGCAGCCAUGCCGCGUGGAGGAAGAAGUCCUUCGGGUUGUAAAGUACUUUCAGCGAGGAGGCGUUACGCGCAGAAGAAGCACCGGCUAACUCCGUGCCAGCAGCCGCGGUAAUAC
rnacentral:rRNA from 1 species